UCCAAAAACCGGUUCCCGUGCGAUCACUGAAUUUAAGCAACGUUGAGCCUGGUCAGUACCUAGAUGUGUUACGGCUGGGGAAGACCACUUGCUGUAA